GAUGGGGACAGGGAAGGGUUGGCAAUAGGGAGAGGGUGACAAGGCACCCCCUCCUCACUUUUCCAUUCUCCCCUAGGGCCCAGCCGGUCCCCGUGGUCUCCCUGGCCCUCCCGGUGCUCCUGGUCCUCAAGGUUUCCAAGGUCCCCCUGGUGAACCUGGAGAGCCUGGUGCUUCUGGUCCCAUGGGUCCCCGUGGUCCCGCUGGCCCCCCUGGCAAGAACGGAGA
rnacentral:lncRNA from 1 species